AUUGAACGCUGGCGGCAAGCCUAACACAUGCAAGUCGAACGAGUGGCGGACGGGUGAGUAAUGUCUGGGAAACUGCCUGAUGGAGGGGGAUAACUACUGGAAACGGUAGCUAAUACCGCAUACCAUCGGAUGUGCCCAGAUGGGCUUAGCUAUUUGGUGGGGUAAAGGCUCACCUAGGCGACGCUCCCUAGCUGGUCUGAGAGGAUGACCAGCCACACGGGAACGGAGACACGGUCCAGACUCCUACGGGAGGCAGCAGUGGGGAAUAUUGGACAAGGGGCGAAAGCCUGAUCCAGCCAUGCCGCGUGUGUGAAGAAGGUCUUCGGAUUGUAAAGUACUUUAAGUUGGGAGGCGUUACCAACAGAAGAAGCACCGGCUAACUUCGUGCCAGCAGCCGCGGUAAUAC
rnacentral:rRNA from 1 species